CGGGCUACGGUAGGUCAGUAUGCCCCGAAUCUCCCGGGCUACACGCGGGCUACAAUGGUUGGUACAAUGGGGUAUCUACCCCGAAAGGGGACGGGAAUCUCCUAAAACCAAUCUUAGUUCGGAUUGAGGGCUGCAACUCGCCCUCAUGAAGCUGGAAUCCGUAGUAAUCGCGUUUCAACAGAACGCGGUGAAUACGUCCCUGCUCCGUU
rnacentral:rRNA from 1 species